rnacentral:lncRNA from 1 species
UCUCUACCUCUCUCUAUCUGGUCUUACUGCUCCAAAUUCACCAUGAUCGAUUACCCUGGACAGUCUGAAUUGUAGGGACUAGAUCCCCAAUCUAUUCAACUCUGGUCUAUCAAUUUCACCUAAUUUCUAUUUUCGAAGUAGGGGUUGUGAUUUCUGAUGCGAUUGUGGUUUUUCUUUGCAUUAAGGGGUUGCAGAGAUUGAAGAGAUUUCAGACUGUGUUCGUGGAGAGCGAGGUUGCGAAUCACCUGGGAUGAAAAAGCUAUAAGCCAUUACAACUCGUUCGUCGUGCUUGAACCUAAGACCUGGGAUGAAGCUCCUGUGGAUAACACAAACAGGUACCAUUUUGGUUUUUAUUAUUUUAAUUUUCUUUGAAGGCUCAUUCGAUAGAUGUGGGAGAAAAAUUGGAUGAUUUUUGUUGUCUAUGGCUUUUUGAUUGAAUUUUGUAUGGGUCUGUGACUUUGUGCCUAUCAUCUCUAAUCCAAGAUCCCUAUUGAAUUUUGUAUGGGUCUGUGACUCUGUGCCUAUCAUCUCUAAUCCAAGAUCCCCAAUUUCAGCACUGAGUAGGAGGCUGAAACCAUGGCAGCGAUUAAACCCAAGAAGAUCAUCAUUGAGAUCCUGAUUUCGGCCAAAUCAAUUGCAAAUUGAAGCUGCUCUUCUUGCUUUCCCUUGUACUCACCAACUUGAUUAAGCCAUCCAUCCCCAGAAAGAUGAGAUAAAAUGAAUAAUAUCAAGAAUCUAAUCAAUUUCAAUUUCGGAACUACAAAGAAGCAAGAGGACUGAGGACUCAGUACUGGACCAUGAAUAGACGCGAUCGUUGACCAAAAACAAAAAAAAUAAAAUAGAAGCAAUCGAAACUCUGAUUCCUACCCAUGGUC